GAUGAACGCUGGCGGCGUGCCUAAUACAUGCAAGUCGAACGAGGUGCUUUUGUAGCAAUACGAGAGUAUCCUAGUGGCGAACGGGUGAGUAACGCGUUGGUGACCUACCCCAAAGUGUGGGAUAACAGUCCGAAAGGAUUGCUAAUACCGCAUGUGGUCUUCGGAUUUAGAAACUGAUGACUAAAGGAGCAAUUCGCUUUGGGAGGGACCUGCGUCCCAUCAGCUAGUUGGUGAGGUAAUGGCUCACCAAGGCUACGACGGGUAGGGGACCUGAGAGGGUGACCCCCCACAAUGGAACUGAAACACGGUCCAUACACCUACGGGUGGCAGCAGUAGGGAAUAUUGCACAAUGGGCGAAAGCCUGAUGCAGCAACGCCGCGUGUGCGAUGAAGGCCUUCGGGUCGUAAAGCACUUUUCUGAGGGAUGAGCAAGGACAGUACCUCAGGAAUAAGUCUCGGCUAACUACGUGCCAGCCGCCGCAGUAAAAC
rnacentral:rRNA from 1 species